CAGUCGCCACGGUAAUACGAAGGGGGCUAGCGUUGCUCGGAAUUACUGGGCGUAAAGGGAGCGUAGGCGGACAUUUAAGUCAGGGGUGAAAUCCCAGAGCUCAACUCUGGAACUGCCUUUGAUACUGGGUGUCUUGAGUGUGAUAGAGGUAUGUGGAACUCCGAGUGUAGAGGUGAAAUUCGUAGAUAUUCGGAAGAACACCAGUGGCGAAGGCGACAUACUGGAUCAUUACUGACGCUGAGGCUCGAAAGCGUGGGGAGCAAACAGGAUUAGAUACCCCCGUAGUCCCUGUCUCUUAUAC
rnacentral:rRNA from 1 species